AUCUGAUUGGUUGCUAUGGGCAACUCAGCAUCUUUUCCUUCGGACAGGUUUUGAUAAAUCUCCCCCAUGAACCCCAAACACUUCAGUGAACUGUUAGCCGAAUCUUUGACUAUCUAAAGUAUAUUUCGGAAGGGAUUCUUGGACGCGUCUGGAAAUAUUUAUGCACCGUUGAAUGCAGGACUUUUCUAUAUGCCCAAAAAGUGUGCAGCAAAAAAACACAUUAAGGUUUUCUGCGCCAUUUACAUUUCUGCAGCAAUUUCUGUCAUAUGUUCAUUUACGGAUUUUCCAAUGAUAGCAGAGAGAGAGAGAGAGGAAGCUACACGAAGCUUAAAGGAGAUACAUGUGCAGCUAGCUCCACCUAAUGGACAACUGAGAGAGAGAGAGAGAGGGGGUGGAGUCUCAUCACAGCAAUUCACCAAAUAAGACCUAAUCACCUGCAGCAACCAGAAG